rnacentral:tRNA from 1 species
AAUCGGAAACAUUUUUUUUAAAUUAAUAACUCAGGAAAGGUGAACAGAAACAUUUCACCAGGUUUUCCUGUGUGUACACGGAAAAUAAAACACUUUAUACUUUGCUUCAAUAAUUUAUCACUUCUUGACAGGGGCUUGAAAAGGGUCCAGUUUGUAAGUACAAAUCACCAAUUUGCUCUUUUAUAAAUGACUUCUUUUAAGGAGAAAAUGGAUGUCCCUCCACGUGGAGGACACAUGUUCUCAUUUGUUUUGUAGAGUAUGUGGGGCAGCCAAGUGAGUGUCCCUUCACUCACUCACAUCAGCCACCUCUAAAAGCAAUUCCAUUGUUAUCUCCCACCAAUCUAGCAUCCUAUUUUUGCUAACUUCUUUCCUGACCUCCCCUUCAGUAUAUGAGUCUUUAUUUUCCCCUUGCCAUCUCUCCAGUUUAAUAGCUCUGUGGUAAAGUAGUGUUUUCAUCCAUGGAACUACUUUUAAUCAAGAUCGACUUUGGGAAAUGCUACCAUUUUUAUGGUAAUAAAGGCUGCAUUAUGCACUUGGACCAGCGCAAGCUGUCUCCCAGGUAUACCUUCAAGUAGUAGAACUGUGAAACAAAGUACAAAUGCCAAAAUUACUUUUUUCUUAACUGUAGUCUCCUAGAGGUCAGUGAAUGAUUUCCAAUUGCAGCAAAGCAAAGACAUUUGUUCUAGGUUGAAGAAUUUUUCACUUGACUAAAUAUGUUCUCCCUGUCUCUGUGCCCCCUCCCCCCCCCUCCUCAAACCCUGGCUGCCACACUUCUCCUGGGCUGUGACAAAACAGAAUGUUUAGUGAGAAACAAAAUUGUGUUUGAUUUUUAGACUAUCUGACUUCACAUUCUGUUUUGGUCUUUGAGCUAUUCCUUGGCUAAUCUUCCAACAAGUUGAAUUGAUUCUUAUUUCAAAACUGUUUAUCCCAAAACAGAGCUGUUGACAAGUACAAAUACAGAUGGCAGACAUGUGGUCUGAUUUUCAUGUUCUCCAUCUCAGCAUUCAGGGAGGGAAUGUUACUGAGAGAUGGUUUACAUCUUGAGCCUCUUGUUUGAGUCAAUAUGUAGUGCAUGCUAGGAGUUUUCUAAUUAUGUGGCAAAUAGUAACAAAUGCUUAAGGGAUUCCUUAAGGCCUGGAAACACAGUAGCAUCCACUUGGUGUGUGAGGCUUGUCACCCCGGAGGCUGUGGUAAUCUACAUCUUAAGCACAGAAGCAACCUCAAGAGGGGAAUGGGCUCUGAUAAGCACACUGACUCUCCGGUGACCUCAGUCCAGUGUUCCAACCUGAGGAUCCAGACUUUUCCUAACUGUGGUCCGACAACGCCUUUUGUUGCACUGAACUUUGUCCUCAAAGCAAAUGACCCUCGAGAGUAUUGGCUCACACUUGUAUUCCAAGGCAGAUUACAGCCCACGCAAUGACCUUGCAAUUCACAGCCAAACUGCUUCAACCCUUGUUUUUCUUCCACAAAAAGAAAUUGUUGAUGAAAGAAAGACAACUGCAAUUCUUCUCUCUUCCAACCUUGUUUCAGGAGGCUUGGUGCUCGGCAGCAUGACGCUGACUGCCCUUAGUGAGGUUGCCCUGAUGGUUGUUGAACUAGACUCCUGAGAGGUGCGGUGUUAGCCAUGACCUACCUCUCUGGAGUCUGAAUAGCCAGCAGCUACUUUAGUUCCAGUAGCUGCUGCCUGUUGGUACAUGGCAGUGCAACCGUGUGAGUGUCGCUGAUGUUGACAGAUCAGUUGACUCACCACUGGAGCCAGUUAUCCAAAGGGGCAGGACUGUAGGAGUGGGCAGCGAUCCACUCCACAUGGGAGAGAACAGUGGAGAUAGCCCUGACCAUUCCUUGCUCGGUUCCUUCCUUUAGAAGGUAGGGGAGGUGGCCAGCAAGUAGGGAUUUGAGGAAGCGGUGGCAGAAAUCAGUUUAGCAUUUAAUGAACAACAGCUGCAGGCAGAUACUGCUGUGCCUCAUGGGGAUAGGAAAGUAAGUAUGACAUUGUUCACAUCCUCCACGUACAAGGAAGCAAUAGAGUUUCCAUUCUAGGUUUACAUAUUUAUGUGGGAAAAUGGUCCUACACUUAAUUGGACCAAAACAGACUUCUUUUUAAAAUCUGAAUACUUCCAAUUUGAUCACCUUAACUGUAUGUUUCUAUCUUAAAAUUCUAGAUAAACUCAGGACUGGAUAAUUUUGAAAUCUAAUUAUUUCCAUCUAUUUAUCUCUUGUUUCUCUGCAGGCCCAUGUGGUUCAGCUCUUAUUUUAACUCUCUUUCCCCCCACCUAGCACAAGCCAGAUUUUCUAUGGUUAAUCUGAACAGUCACAAUGGAUGUUAUUUUAUUUGAAGAUCAGUUUUGAUACAUCUGCAGUAUUGAACCUUCUCCUUUUAUUCUUAAUAAUUUCAGAGUAGAUAUAAAGAUGGACAUAUUCUAGAACUUCAUAAAACCACAAAACCCUGAAACAGUGGGGAUAGACCAGUUUUCAAGGCCUACUUUCCAAAACUGUUAAAAUCCCUAUGAACUCCAUGUAUUCUGGGCUUUAUAAUGGAAUGGAUGCUGAUCAUUGUGGCAAAAUAUUAUACCUAUAAUUGGAUUAAAGGCAAGACCAAUUUGUGAAAAAUUAACAUAAUUUUAGAGAAACAGUUUUAUUACCCUCAAGUGCAUACAGUAUUUCAAACCACUAUUCAGGACUUACAUCAAAUAGAAGCCCUAUUGAAAAAACUGCAAAUUUGUAAUAUGUAUAGUUGAUUAGGUGUUACUGCGACACAGGACAACCUGCCCCACACACCAACUGGUGUUAAAAUAUUCAAAUCUCAGUGGUUUGAAACAACAUAAUUCUCAUUCAUGCUCCAUAUACACAGAAACCUGAUAUUUUCACCUUCUCAGUGCAAGGUUUUGGUAUUGCUGCCACAGUGGGAGCACAUAAAGAAUCACUCCGGGAUCCUUAAGUGCUUUGGCUUAGAAGCGACACCUGUCACUUCCACUUGAAUAUCCAAAGCAAGUUGCAGGACCAGUGUUAACUUUUGAGCUUUUAGGAAAGUACAAUCCUAUGGAUUCAGGAGAAAAAAAAAAAAAGUGUUGGUACACAUUGGUAAUACCUAUCUCAGUGUCUGCUUCUCCAGAGAAACAGGACUGAUGGGAUGGAUAUGGGAAGGGAUGUAUGUUAAGAGACUGUUUCAUGCAACUGUGGAGGCUUGACAAGUCCAGCAUGGGCAAGGUAGGGUUGCAGUUUGGAUCUCUGGCUGUCUGCUAAGAAUUUCCUCUUCCUCCCAGAAAUGCAGUGUUUUCCUAUUAAGGUCUUCAACUGAUUGGAUAUGUCCUACCUGCAAGAUGGAAAGUGAUCUGCUUCACUCACACUCAGAAUCUACUCAUUGAACUGUAUUGUCAUCUAGAAAGUACCCUCACAGCAGCAUCUGGAGUGAUGUUUGACCAAAUAUCUGGGUGCAGUGGCCUAGUCAAGUUGAUAUAAAAUUAACCAUCCUGAUGUGGUACCGUGUCCUUUGCCUUCUAGAUGUUCUUAAUCAUCCUUUAUGAAACAUACAGAGGCAUAAAAAUCUCAAAGCAAUUUUUAUUGCUUAGAAAAAAGAAUCCUUCUUUGUUAAGACUGGGGUCAAGAGACUUGUGUUCCUGGUGUCUUAAUCACUUCAUUAGACCAAAGAAAAAUAGUGACUGAUUUUUUCAUAGUUUGAAAAACUAGGACUGAAUAGAUUUGUUUGGGUCUGAUUUUGUUGUUCCAGGUUAACUUACAAAUUCCCAAUUAUUGUGUUUCUAGAUUUAAAAGAAAAUGCAAAAUUUAAGAACAACCUUUCCAUAGAUCAGGUAAACAUUGUCCCAAGCCAAUCAAAUAUGCCAGCUACCUCUAACUGUGGAGAGAUGAUCACACAACUUUUGGUGUACAUCAGCACCAUGUUCUGUGUAAGAUGGGUCUCAGGGCUGGCGUGUAGCUCAGUGGUAGAGUGCUAUGCCUAGCUUGCAUGAGGCCCUGGGUUCAAUCCCCAGUACCGAUGUGUUUCAAUGGCAGGUUGUACAUCACACCAAAACUUGGCUUUUUGAUACAUUAGGUGUGCGUGGCUUAUGUUUCAGUAAAUGCAUGACCUUCUAUGAGUAUCUUCAUCCUGAGAAAGUGCAUGUGCCACCUGUCUUGUUCAAAGAUGUGCCCUUAGUAGGACCUGAUGUUCUCUUUGCUUUUCUUCCUUUUUCUAAUGGCACCUCUUUGGCCAAGCCUGCCUCAUAGCCCCUUCCUGAGCCUUGGCACUAGCACAGGUGCAGAAGUUUCCCAGGGAUUUCCCCACACAGGUGCAGUAGAGGAGCCACUCGGAGGUCAACCCUACCAACUGACUCAUUAGCCAUCUGAGCGAGUCCUCAUGCUCCCCCAUCAUGGUUACUGAGCAAGGUAGUCCUCUUCCAGAUGAGGAAACCUGAGGCAAAGGGGUUAAGUGACUUGCCCUGGGUCACUUGGGAAGUUCCUGCAACUAGAACAAUCACUUUCUGCUAUUCGGUCAAGUGCUUAAGUGCUGGCCUCCCUGAUUCCUUCUUCUAGCAUGCAUUUAAUCAAUAAAUCAAUUUCCUCUCCUCCUGUUCAUCCUAGUAGUGCAAGGAAGAAGGUCGCAUGAUGUGUGCAUAGACUGCUGUCCUCCACGUUCCAAGAUGAUGUUGGUGACAGUGAUUUGUUAUCACUCUGCUCCAGUGUGACAGGAAAGAUCAAUAAGCAGCCAAUAGCCCUUUCCAUGAUGGCCAAAGUACAAAACUGCCCCUGGACUCAGGUCUGCAGGCACUGUGUGCAAAGACUCGCAUUUUUUUGAGAUGAUUAUCUCUAAGAAUUUGUUUGUCCCCCCCCCCCGAGUCCCCUGAAUCCUAACUACUACUCAGCAGGCCAUUUCCCCGCAGUACCAGGCCAGUCCUCAUGUCAGAAGCUAUGCAUCUUCAGGCCCAGGAAGUGCAUGAGAGAAAUGAAGGCAGGCUGUGUGUGAAUCGGAGUCCCCUUAUCCCCGGCCCAACUCCGUCCGGCUCAAUCCGUGUUGCAGUCUCAUUUGUCAGAUGUUUAAUAACAACUGAAGUAAGUAGGUGCCUC